AUUCCACCAGUCUAUCCAGCAGAGACUUCAGCAAUGCUUGCCUUUGCAGUCACCAGUCCAGCAAUCGCCUAUCCAUGGGGAAUGAGUUUCGGAUGCAGGUCAAAACUCAAAAGUUUGAAAUGGCAAACUCUUUUUCUCUUCAUCCCUCUUCCUAUAUUUCUAAUAUCUUAAUGAACCUGGACCCACACCCAGCCCUAUCCUGUCAAAUAUUACCCAACUCUCAUCUCCACAUUUCACAUCCCAAAUUGUGGUUUAUGCUAUCUAAUGUACCUGUGAAAAGAACAUUCUAGUAGUCACAGCCUUACUCAUGAAAUGAUCAUGGUGUAACAUUUCAUCUCCAUCUUUUUUGUGUUCACAAAAGCCUCAUAAUUGCUUCUUACUGCCUUCAACGCUUCCUUUCCAUCAUGCUACUAAAGUGAUUUGCCAGAAAUGCAAAUCUGACUACUAUCUUCCUGUAUUGUUUACAUGAAAGAAAGUUUCUGUAUAUUAUGUUUGGCACCUUAAAAGACCUUUCUGACCCAGUGUAGUGGCACACAUCUGAAAUCCAGUGGCUUCGGAGGCUGAGGCAGGUGGAUUGCAAGUUCAAAGCCAGCCUCAGCAAUUUAGCGAGCAAAACUUAAAAAGGGCUGGGUAUGUGGCUCAAUGGUUGAACACCCUACGUUCAAUCCCUGGUACAAAAACAAACAAAACCCACAACACUUUCUGACUGGGAGAGAUUGCUCCUCCUGGGAUUAGCCAUUUCUUAAAGAUAGCAAAGGGUACAGCCUGAAGCAGGCCUCCGAUACUCAGACUAACUAGUCCUGAGUCUUCCCUCCUCCAUCUGGUCCAUGUACCCCAGCAGGCAAUAUUCCUGUGCCUUAAUCAUCCCAGGGCCAGAUGCCAGAGAGAACUGGGGACCACUCCUUAUAGCCCAAAGACUAUGGAAUUAUUCAAACUACCAAUCCUGAACUGUUUACCUUGCCCACUUUAUCUUUCCACUAGAAGUCCCGGUAAAGGCUCUGAGACUUUACCUUCUAUUUAUGCUAUUCUACCUCACUGAUGCUGGCCCUUUCCUAUGUGGCCCUAUGUCAUGCUUCCUAUUUCUAGGGAUCUAAGUAUAAACUUCUUCCUUCUUGAUAUUCACUUCGAUGUCUGUGAGUCUUACCAUACUCAAUUAAAACAAAUCCUAAUUAUAUGUUAAUAUACUUCCUAACCUAAACUUUCCAGUGGUUCUCCAUUCCCUUGGGAUGGGAUCCAUUUUUAUGCUAUUUAAGGGAUGACAGUCAUGACUAGUCCUGCAUACCCCUCCAGUGUCACUUCCCCUCACCCCUUUUAUUUCUAUUUGUACUACAAUUAUUUAUAUUCCUCCUAACCUCUGAACUUUUUCUUUACAUUCUUUUAAUUAAAUAUUUUCCUCUUUCACAUUUACUUCAUCAACUAGUUAGUUGUUUUUAACCUGUUAUGCCAGCACUU
rnacentral:lncRNA from 1 species